rnacentral:rRNA from 1 species
UUAUUAAACGUUACUUCGGUAACUUAAUAUCCUCAACACCUGUGCAUCUUGUCGCUCCGGCGAUAUCAUACAAACAUCAGUGUAAAGAAUGUAUUAUAUUAUAACAAAUACAACUUUCAACAACGGAUCUCUUGGCUCUCGCAUCGAUGAAGAACGCAGCGAAAUGCGAUAAGUAAUGUGAAUUGCAGAAUUCAGUGAAUCAUCGAAUCUUUGAACGCACAUUGCGCCUUUUGGUAUUCCGAAAGGCAUGCCUGUUUGAGUGUCAUAAGACCUCUCAUACCUAGUUUUCUAUGUAUGAGCUUUGGACGCUGCCAUCCGUGGCUCGUCUUAAAUGUCUAAGUGGAAUGCGUAAUAAGUUUUCGCUCCCUCCACUCUAAUAACUUUUAUGUUAGACCUCAAAUCAGGUAGGACUACCCGCUGAACUUAAGCAUAUCAAUAAGCGGAGGAA